rnacentral:rRNA from 2 species
UUAAAUUGAAGAGUUUGAUCAUGGCUCAGAUUGAACGCUGGCGGCAGGCCUAACACAUGCAAGUCGAACGGUAACAGAAAGCAGCUUGCUGCUUUGCUGACGAGUGGCGGACGGGUGAGUAAUGUCUGGGAAACUGCCUGAUGGAGGGGGAUAACUACUGGAAACGGUAGCUAAUACCGCAUAACGUCGCAAGACCAAAGAGGGGGACCUUCGGGCCUCUUGCCAUCGGAUGUGCCCAGAUGGGAUUAGCUAGUAGGUGGGGUAACGGCUCACCUAGGCGACGAUCCCUAGCUGGUCUGAGAGGAUGACCAGCCACACUGGAACUGA